rnacentral:lncRNA from 1 species
GCGGGUGUAGUGGGGAGAGAGAUUCCAGUCGCUGCCACUGCGACCCGUGGCGCUUGACGCAGUCGGGCCAAUGGCUAACGCAAGUCCGUAUACUUCGAGGUUGGAAUUUGGUUCUUGAACCAUUAACGGUUCACCAGAGAUGGUGCGUUGACCGAUACGCAAAACAGGAUCCAUUUCUGCGAACGCAACGUGCCCGCGUGUUUCAUCAUGCCUGACAAAUUUCUGCGAUCGUACGAUGAUAACCUUGGAUGAAGCAUUCUCUCCGGGACUCGCGAAUAAUAAAUAUUAACACUUGAGACGAGAUAACACUGUGAGAGCGAGCGUGUAACGUAAAAGGAAACGGGUAAGUGGGUAAUGUUUACUCGCUCCAGUCAGCAGAACUAACAAUAAAUUGGACAGAGGGAUUCUCCAGCCGGGGGGACGAGGCGCGAAAGCUAGGCAAAUCCGGAUGGUGCUUUGUUCUGUUUGGCGAUCGCGAUUGCGGCGCGCCAAACAGAAGGAAAUCCGAGCGUGCGAACCGCGCCGCGGAGGAGCGUCGUGCGAUUAAUUCGCUCUUUAGGAGAAAGGAUGAUCGAGAGUAACGGCGCGCGCGGAGGGACGAGGAGAAGGCACGAGCAAUUUCUGCGUCUCUGCUCGUGGAAAUGAAAGCUGCUCUCAGGAACAGCACGCGGCGCCGGUGAUGCGAUCACAUACAGAGCACGCAUGAGGUUUACUCACGUCUCUAACUCCAUCGUCACCCCUCCAUCUCCCGGAUGAAGGUUUCAGCUCAGCUGUGCUGUAGCACGCGAUUCGCCGGAGAGCCAUGCGAGAGGUGCGUGGACAGAGCGAGGUCAGCUCACGCACGUGCACGUCGUGCGUGGCGCUCAUAUUAUACAUGUACGCUCUUGAUCCGUUUGAUCAUUGGCGUACGCGUCAUUGUGCCGUAAUUGCGAGCUUGCCUAAUCUCGCCAGUUGCUAUAUUUGAACCUUGUGCACGCACUGUUACUAAACGAAAUCUUGAACUUAAAAGAAUUUAGUCGUUUUUAGAUAGCCUAAAAAAAUGUUAAAAUUGGAAUUUCAGCUGCUCUUGUUGCUAUGCUAGAAGUAAGGUAGUCGCAUUUUCACGAUUGAUUUUGUUGCGCGUAAAAGACCGUGCAUAUUUGUUCAGCAAUAUUUUACUUUAUUUCUGCGGAACUUGUACUUUAUAAUUGGAUGUAAUAUAGUGAAUUUACGCAUUUAUUAAUUAAA